rnacentral:rRNA from 1 species
UACGUAGGGACCAAGCGUUGUUCGGAUUUACUGGGCGUAAAGGGCGUGUAGGUGGUUUCGUAAGUCUGGCGUGAAAUUUCUCGGCUUAACCGAGGCAGGUCGUCGGAUACUGCGGAACUUGAGGACGGUAGAGGCGUGUGGAAUUCCGGGUGUAGUGGUGAAAUGCGUAGAGAUGUGGAGGAACACCGAUGGCGAAGGCAGCCCCCUGGGCUAACACUGACGCUCAUGCACGAAAGCGUGGGGAGCAAACAGG